rnacentral:ribozyme from 1 species
UGCCCAGCAACUCCUAUCCCUACCUCCACACGGUACUGGCCGGGGUACGAGUAACCUUAGGGAAGAUCGGGUAACCAACCCCCGGUGGGAACUUUGGUCGUAUGCUGACAGGGAAGG